GUCAGAGCAGUACCGGCUGACAGGGCACGGCUUAUCCGUGUCAGUGGUCGGUAAACUCUCCGACUUGAGGGCCAGAGAGGGACAGGGAACUCCGGGUGGAGUGGUGAAAUGCGUAGAUAUCCGGAAGAACACCAAUGGCGAAGGCACUGUCCUGGAUGGUACCUGACGCUCAGGUGCGAAAGCUAGGGGAGCGAACAGGAUUAGAUACCCUGGUAGUCCAUGCCGUAAACGUUGGGCGCUAGGUGUGGGGUCCAUUCCACGGGUUCCGUGCCGCAGCUAACGCAUUAAGCGCCCCGCCUGGGGAGUACGGUCGCAAGAUUAAAACUCAAAGGAAUUGACGGGGGCCCGCACAAGCGGCGGAGCAUGCGGAUUAAUUCGAUGCAACGCGAAGAACCUUACCAAGGCUUGACAUACACCGGAAACAUCCAGAGAUGGGUGCCCCGCAAGGUCGGUGUACAGGUGGUGCAUGGUUGUCGUCAGCUCGUGUCGUGAGAUGUUGGGUUAAGUCCCGCAACGAGCGCAACCCUCGUUCUAUGUUGCCAGCGGAUAAUGCCGGGGACUCAUAGGAGACUGCCGGGGUCAACUCGGAGGAAGGUGGGGAUGACGUCAAAUCAUCAUGCCCCUUAUGUCUUGGGCUUCACGCAUGCUACAAUGGCCGGUACAAAGGGCUGCGAUACCGCAAGGUGGAGCGAAUCCCAAAAAACCGGUCUCAGUUCGGAUUGGGGUCUGCAACUCGACCC
rnacentral:rRNA from 1 species